CUAAGGACUAUAAACAGUGUAAAAUAUAACCAGUUUAUUAAAAAAGUAAAAUAAGAAUAUUUGUACAUCAGGUAAAGCUUAAAUACAACAUUACACAUUGGAAAAAAAAAUGAAAACAUUUGACAAAGUAAAUUUGCCAGAUUGGUAAAUAAACAAUCUAUGCUGGCAGAAACACAAAAAUAAACAAGUCUGAUUGUUUUCAUUAUAAUUAAUAGAGUUUUUAUACAAAUAACAUUUGCUAAAGCCCUAAAGGGCCCAAUUUUUCCAAUUAAUAUCCAUUACAAUAGUUACCCAACAGUUUGCAAACUGGGUUGCAGAUUUACUCCUUCAAAAUAUAUCAAAACUAAAUAAAGUAGUAAACAUAUAUUUGUUGAAGGCGUUAACAUAUACAUUAAUAGCGGACAGCUCUCUUGAAGUGCAAGACCUGUUCUAUCCACAUACCAUGUAAAUAAUAGCUUUCUUGACCCAUCUAUGCAAUAUAAAUCUAGCACGCAUAAGUGAAUGGAAAUGUACUCAAUAACUGAAGCUACUGAUGGCAAAGGCUGGAUUUCUAAUUGGGUACACUAGACACUUCAAUGUAUAAUUGUUUUAGAAAUACCGAGGUAUUCAAAUGGAGGAACCUACUGCUAGCUCCACCCACAUCAGUCCACAUUCUACCAUUGGGGUUUAUGGUCCAUCAAAUGAUGUUGUAGCCUCUCCACAAGGUCAUAAAUUGAAUGGUCUGAAGUAUACUUCUUGAUCUAACAGAUGAUCGGCACUCAUCUUCAGUGACUACUUACAAUAUAAAGAUAAAUGUAAUAGAAUCUUAUAAUUUCAGUAAAUUCUCAAAUUUGAAAUAAAUGUUUGUAUGUAAUAUCUUGGCCUGCUUGAUAUAUAUAAUAACAUAUUUGUGUUUCAGUUUCUCUCAACAUUAGUUGACGAAUAAUAGUAGAUGAAUAUAAUUAUUAACAAAAAAAAGUGUAAAUAUUAUAAAUAUAAAUGUCCCUUGAUAUUCAGAUGUCUCACUUCAGCAUGUAAAUCCAGCCCUUAGAAAAUUGUCUUUAAAAUGUAACAGAAAUGUUAGAUGUUCCAAGGUAAUCUUGGCUUUUUCACCACCACUAUACUAAAUAUGCUACUUUACAAAUGUACCAGUAAUAAAUAUUUUAAAAAAUAUGGAAUACAUAAAUCGAGAAAAUCUUCAAUUUAGGAGAUUUAUCAUUUAAAAUGGUAGAUUCAAUAGAAAUAUUUGUGGGACCAGUAAAAAAAAAAAAAUGUUAUCUUAAAUUACGAGAUUGAUAAAUCUUCAGCACAAUUAAAUUUUGCUCAAAAUGGAAAUGGCAAGUCUAUAGCAACUUCAAGGAGAUUCACUAUGUAAGGUAGAACACAAUUAACAUUAGGUAUUUUAUUAUGUACAUUAAAUUCAAACUUAAAUGACUAACAAAAUAAAACAUAAAAUACUGUACAAAUAACUUAUUCAGAAGCAUAUGAAAAAUCGUGCAAAAGUAUAAAAGUCCCAUAUGUAUAAAUGCCACUUGUAGGACUUUUGUCGUGUUCAAAAUAAAUGAAAUUCAAAGGAACCAACUGUCUCCCAUCAGUCCUUGCAUAAUCAGGGAGUAAAAUACAAACAAAAUGCCCAUUUUGCACUUUUUCAACUAAUUUUUGAAUCAAAAUUACAGUUUAAUACAAGUGCAAAUUAAUAUAAAACAUUUUAUGCUCGGUAUCAUGUUAAAAAAAGGACAUACAUUGUUGCAGAAAUAAAUCUAAAAGAUAAAUGCAAUAGUACAAUAUAUUAUAUUCUCUGCUCAGUGCCUAAAGAAAUAUUGAAAUGGUAUAUUUAAAUUUUUUAAAAUGCCACUUUCGGAAAACAUUGAAAUAACAAUUCAAAUAACACUGACAUUUUCGUAAUGGAGACUCUAAUGUGAGAAUAAAAACUUUAUUAAAACAGUCUGGUGCACUAAGUUAAUACUUAAAUAGACACUCCAAGCUGUGAAACUACAAACUUGUAUCUGAUAAAGCGUCACAUAAUACUCAUAUUACUUUGCAUGAUAACAGCCAUUUUUUUAAUGGUGCCACAACGUGCACAUUUUUUCAAUGCAAAAAUUAUUGAGACAAUGAAUUAAAAAAUGUAGAUUUUUAAAUAUAUGCAAGUGUUUUCCCAUAUCGCUAAAUAAGAAGUACUUGCAUAUACACAGUCUCUGUGCAUUUGUUAAUUUACUUGUAUGCAACUUUACUAUGGCUAUUGACCUGUGCAAGCCUUUAUGGCUUCCAUAUAUUUGAACGAGGGAAGCUCUAAAUAUGCUGCAGUGUGCUGCCUUAUAGACUUGUGUAUUCGGUUUCAACAAAUUGAAGUUCGUCCACUUAUGCAUUCGGUGGAUCGUUCGAAUUUCAUAACACAGUAGCACCACAUGGACAUAUCAACAAAUGACACAAGCAAUAAGAAAACAGUUUUAUUCAUUUUGUGAUUUGGAGUUAUGCUUUUGGCACUAAAAAAUAAUUUGAUUGAUGGGAAAAAGAUGAUUGGGCAGCCACUAAAUGUUGAUUUUAUUCACAGAUCAAGUGUGGAGUGAGCAAUAAAGGAAAAAAGGAGGAGCGGUGAAAUUAUUUUAAUGUAUUUUAAAUUUAAUAAAGAUAUAAUCUAUAAAUAGAAUAUUUUUUUUAUUUGCUGCCUUUUUACCCUCUCUCUUGAUCUGUGAACCAAAUGGUGAGAAAAUGGGCCUGUCAAUUUACUGCAAAACAUAUACAUCGUUCUUAUAUUGUGUAUAUAUUUUGUAGUACACUAAUUGGCUAUUUUCAAACUAUUUUGUUUCAUCCAAGUCGUUUUUUACAUGUACAUGUACAGGUAAUUAUUAAAGUAACAGAUAUAUAUCAGAUACAUAGCUAGAUAGCGUUACUCAAAGCUUAACCAAAGCUCGCUUUUGCAGCUGAUAAUUAUGUUUUUUAUAUUUUCAGUAAUCACAAAUAUACAUCUAUCUAUGUGAUCCUUCAUGGAACACAUACAUAGAGCAAACCUUGUAUGUGUGCAUUAUGAGAAAAUCCUCUCACUUUGUAUAUGCAACACAUUGCUCCUAAUUUGUGUUAGAAUUUUGAACUUUUUUUAGUGUCUAUCACCAUUAUUUAUUAUGAAGAAAUUCAACAACAGUUACUGCCCAAGUCAUGGAAUAUACAAAAUUUUCAACAUGAGCCUGAUGUGAAGUUUCUUAGAAAAUGUAAUUCUUAUUUCAAUUAUAUAAUUUAAAAAAAGUUUUCAACUUAUCACCUAAUUGCACACUAAGAAAUAAUGACAUAUUCACUUAUGCAGUAAAUUUAAAGUCUUUAAAAAAGCUGGACAUUUGAUGAAAUAUGAAACUCAAUUGAAACAGGAGUUUAUUCACUAAACUUUGAUUUAUAGCGAAUUGAAACUCUCCAAUUUAAAAAAAAUAAAAUCCUGCAACUUUGCUUUUAUCAUAGCUUGGCUUUUCAAUUUCUGAUUUUAAAACACUACAAUUUAGAUCAGGGUAGGCAACUUUCAGCACUCCAGAUGUUGUGGACUACAUCUUCCAGAGAUGGAUUAAGAGCUCGUUGGUCCUGGUGCUGACAAUUGCAAUGCUUAAUUUCAGAAUUAUAAUGAUGGAAAACACUAAAACAGUCAUACCUCCCAAGCGUCAUGUAUCUGGUGGAGGUGGUGCUGGAGGGGAAACUCACAGAAUGCAGCUAUAAGAAAACACAUUCCCUUUGCUAAUCUCUUGCUUUCAUCUCUAAAGAAAAUCCAUACCCACUUACAGCUGCGUCCGGUGAAGCAGGAUUUUGGUGGUGGGGUAAAAGGGUGGGCCACUGAUGCAAAUCACGUAACAGGCAUCGCCCAACGGCAGACAUGCUAACAAAAGGGGUGGGUCUGUCCAAAGAAUUAGAAGGACAGUCUGGGGUGAAUGCAUGUCAGGCUGCCCGCCAAUCAUGCAGGCUGGCCAACUAAGGGUGUUCUAUAUAAACAGCUUCCUGAGCUUGGCAGAAAUGUGUCUCGCUCCCCACUUUCUGGGGACUGUCCCUCAGCAGAAGCUCCUUGUAUGCAAACUGGGACAGAGAAAAUUUAAAUGUAGUGAGUGUAGAAUUAAGGAGAUAUGCUACACUGUUAGAGAGUUUAAAGCAAGAGCAUUUGCAUACUGUACAAAGUCAGCUAUACCUUAACUAAUUUAUAGUCAGCCAGUCCACACAGGUUGUGUUCAGUCAUCAUUGAAUAGGCAUACAUAUAUGGAGCUUCAGCUCUUUCAGCCCCUAUGUUAAUCCAGGCCUGACAUCUUCCCUGAUGCUUUGCCAGCAUUAUGGUUUAAAGAGCAUUUUGGGAGAUGUGGUCUACAACAUUUGGAAUGCUGAAGGUUGUCUACUCCUGAUUUAGAGUUUAGUGAAUAAAGCCUUUGAAGUUUAUAACUGAAUAUUUUUCUAAAGCUGACCUACAUCAGUGAAUGAACUAAUAUUCUAAUUACACAAUGUGCUAGUUGCCUAGACACUUAGUUGCAGAUGAUGGUUCAUUAGAAAUGUAAACCAAAAACACUUCGAAGCCAAUAUUUGGUUAAUGUUGCAAAUCAUCAGAUGGGAGGUCAACUAUUGGUGACAACCACCAGUAUGUUAUCAGUUCUUAAGCACUUCCUUCCCUGCAGGAGCUCCUUAUUUUGACAGUGUCCAAUUUAUGACAUCGUUAACAGUCAGAAGACAGUAGCACAUAUUAUUUUCUGGCUCUCUGUUUCUGCAAUCAGGGUGAGUUAAAAAACAAAGUCAGAAGGCAAUGUCACACAUCCAAUUUCUACAUUAGAUUUUAAUUCAUUCCUGUCUCUGUUAUCUGACUCUGUCACAAGUCAGACACAGAAAUAAGCCCCUUAUACCAUAUCUACAUGAUAUCUGAAUCUAACUUAGGACUCCAACAGGUGAAUAAAUAGGAUAUAUAAAGGAAACAUAAUUCAGAUGUCAGAUGCUAAAAACGGAUGUGAUAAUGACUGUUUCUGACUUUUGACUAAUAUGGGUGUCAGAUACAGAGAUCAAGAUGAGAGGCCAAACUGGAUAAGACACCUGUCACUCUGACACUUAAAUUUACCUGGGUAUUAUUUAGGAAUCAGAAGUAGAGAUCAGACAAAAAAAAAAUAUGACACUGUUUUUUGACUCUGAUAUAUGAUAAUGUUAUAAAAUGGAUACAGUAUAGGAUCUACUGAUUUAGCACAGGUUCAACUAACAGAUAGUUGACAACACUACUUUUUUCACUUGCACUUAUUUAAUUAGAAGCAAUAACCUGGCUACGGGGACUACUUGAUUUUAAAUGGAAAGAAAAACUACCAAAAAUAAUAUGUAUGUUAUAUUGACAAAAGGCAUUGUUGAAAACUGUUAUUCUGCUAUUUGAGUCUCACAAUGAUCCUUUGUGUUUUAAAAGUUGCUUAAACAAUUGUAUAUCUGAAGCAAUUUGUCUUUGUCUGAGACAGAUAUAAAAUAGAAAAACGCACCAUGAUUGCUAGUGUAGACAAAAGCAAGGUGAACAGAAUAUUAAAUAUAAAACCCAAGGUAGCAGAGACUAGUAGCACAACACUACUUAUUAUGACAGUGUUUGCGUUAGGGUCAAUUAAUAAUCAAGUCUCUAACUAACAUACACUCUAACUAACAGCACACAGCCUGCAGUUCUGGUCAAGUAUUAACAAAAAUGACAAAAAUAUUACAUACACACAAACAUAUAAAUGUAAAAAAAUCACAACCCUCUCUCAUUGACCCUCUUUGUAGAUAAUUCAAAGAUGUCUGUUAUGAGUUGCAAUAUCUUUACAGAAUUGAAGCACCGUGAGGUUCUACAAUACCUUCCUAGGCCUUGCCAGAUAAAAUUUAAGUCAUGUUUUCCAGUUACUGAGGCUCCUAACUAAGGAGCCUUCGCUAGAGAAAUGUUAACAUAGCGAGAUGUCAGUUUGUCUAUGCAUAAAUUUCUUGUCUGAUUUUUCCAGUAAUGAUGUGCGAUCUUUACUAUUUUUAGUGGCAUCUGCCAUCUGGCAUGUAAGUCUACUAUGUCAUUAAUAUUUAUUUUUAAUUAAAAAAAUUGAAACGUUUGAUUCAAAAUGGCUUCUUCAUGCAAGUACUCCAACACAGAAACUGCAAACAAGCUUGCAAAUACUUGACAAACAUACUAAACUCAGAUAGUUAUUCAAUAUCAAAAUUAUUACCUAAGAGCUUAUUGAACUUUUCUUAUUUUAUUACAAAUGCAAAGAUAAACAACCCCUUAAUGGAACUGUGCCUGGUUGAGCACAUCUGGCAGUAAAAGGGUCAUUUAUACUAUAAAAAAGAAAAACUAUUGAUGUAAUUACCUGCUCUAACUGUGUAGUGUUAAAUGUCAGAUGUAUGACAUUUUAAAGCAGUGAUAGUAUUAUAAAAAAUAUAUAUCGAUCACAACUUAACAGAACAAACUGCUAAAUUAAUGAUUCAUAUAGUAUAUGCAUAGGGUAUCUGUGCAGUAUAUGAAAUGUGUGUAUUACCUCAAAGCAUACCUUAGGACAGCUCUGAAAAUACAUAAAUAUACAUCUACAGGAGACAGACUUUUGAAAAUAUUCAAAAACAUGAGCUCAAACAACUCAAAAAACAUGUGUCAGGGAAGUGAAGUUGGAAGUGAACAAAAACAAAACACUUCCUAUGUUUAAGGUACAUAAUAGUACAUGGAAUUCCAUUUUGCAUUCUUAGAAAAAGUCAAUAAAUAGAAGGCAGUGGGAGGGUUGAAGAUGGAAUCAUCGAAAGGCACUUUAUGGAAAUUUGUCAGGAUUUCCUUAACUGUUCCAAAAGAUCAAAAAUGUAGAAGUUUCCCCCAAAAUUUUUUGAUUAAAGGAAUAUAUUUAUACAUAUGAAUCUGUUCAUAUAGUGUCAUAGUCCUGUGGAAAGAGUCUGUUCAGUUUUUCUUUCAUUCUGUCAAAUUUAUCAGUCAAUGAACAAAAAUUAUCAAUAAAAAUUGACAUCCUGAAACACCUUAUGUGAACAGAAUGGACACUUUUAAACACUUGUCUCUUUUCCCUUUCUAUCCUUACAUAGGAGGGCUUUCUUGCAGUAACACAACGAAACUGAAAUCCGGCAAGUCAUCGCAAUGGUGCUGUGAUUGCCUAGAUAUCCCACAAUCUCUAUCAGAAGAUGAUGUAAGUCAUUCAGACAUCAUCAGGUCUUCAAGCAUGGAAUAUUGGGUUCUUCAUCCUUCAUAUACGCAGGCAUGUUACACGUUCUAUCCAGCUUCACUUUUUGGCCAGUAGCCAUGGAGUCUGACCCUUAAAAUUACCAAAUAAAAGUACUAUUGUAAGCAGCUAACCGGGAAGGAUUACAUCAAUUACAGUGUUACAUCAUAUUAAAAGACUGGGGUUCUAACAUUUGUUUAACAUGUGACUCUAAAUGCAAAUGUUCAUAGCUCUCUUUCUUAACUAUAUUAUUCUAAGUCCCUGAUGUAUUUUUAGUGUGUCAGCAAAACCUUUCUUCUAGCCAUGUGAUAGAAUUGAAAAUGUUCCUUUAGGAAUGCAGAAACUGCAAUAUUUAAAUUAUCCUUAUACAAACUAAGUAUUUAAAAGAUGCAGAGAUGAUAAGUUUGUGUGUUCUGUAUAUAUGGUAUCGACCAUCAAACAUGAAGCAGGAGGCAAAGUAAGGAACAGUCCUGGUGGGGGAUCCAUAGUUUGAUAAUGUGUUUUGUUCUUC
rnacentral:lncRNA from 1 species